CGUGGGCAACCUGCCUCAUAGAGGGGAAUAGCCUUCCGAAAGGGAGAUUAAUACCGCAUAAGAUUGUAGCUUCGCAUGAAGUAGCAAUUAAAGGAGCAAUCCGCUAUGAGAUGGGCCCGCGGCGCAUUAGCUAGUUGGUGAGGUAAUGGCUCACCAAGGCGACGAUGCGUAGCCGACCUGAGAGGGUGAUCGGCCACAUUGGGACUGAGACACGGCCCAGACUCCUACGGGAGGCAGCAUG
rnacentral:rRNA from 1 species